rnacentral:rRNA from 1 species
UACGGAAGGCAGCAGUGGGGAAUAUUGCACAAUGGGCGCAAGCCUGAUGCAGCCAUGCCGCGUGUAUGAAGAAGGCCUUCGGGUUGUAAAGUACUUUCAGUCGUGAGGAAGGUGUUAAGGUUAAUAACCUUAGCAAUUGACGUUAGCGACAGAAGAAGCACCGGCUAACUCCGUGCCAGCAGCCGCGGUAAUACGGAGGGUGCGAGCGUUAAUCGGAAUUACUGGGCGUAAAGGGCACGCAGGCGGUUAAUUAAGUUGGAUGUGAAAUCCCCGGGCUUAACCUGGGAAUGGCAUUCAAGACUGGUUAGCUAGAGUCUUGUAGAGGGGGUAGAAUUCCAUGUGUAGCGGUGAAAUGCGUAGAGAUGUGGAGGAAUACCGGUGGGCGAAGGCGGCCCCUGGGACAAAGGACUGACGCUCAUGUGCGAAAGCGUGGGGAGCAAACGAGGGAUUAGAUACC